ensembl:lncRNA
GGUGGGGGCGAGCAUUUCAGGGCCUUGGCCACAUGGCUGAGGUUAACUGAGCUUUGUUUUAAAGAAGCCUCGAGCCCGGCACGCCUCAGAAGACCAUUAGGGUUAGUUUAGAGUUAGGCAGAUACCAGGGGGCUUGCUUAGUUGAUCAUUUGCACUCGGAGGCUUGCUCACUGUGCUCAGCAGUGAUUGGUGUAUUUUGUUUAUUUAUGCUUGGUUAUUGAAGUUGUCUAGUAUGGCGGCUAUAGAUGACUUUAUUAGUGCACCCUCGGAGGAGUUGCUUGAUCAGCUCACUAAAGAACAGCUCCUUAGUCUUGCCAGUCAUUAUGACAUUGAGAUUGCCAGUGGUGAUAAACGUCUUAAAGAGAGUUUAAGAGAAGCACUUAAGGCAGGCCUAGCAGAAGGAGGCAUCCUGAGGACGUCGGCUCUACCAGCAUACCAGCAUCAACUUGUUCUUCCUCAAAUGUCAGAUGCUGUGCUGGAGUUCAGGUUGAAGGAGUUGGCGUUCCGAGAGUUAGAACUAGAGGAUAAAGAAAAAUAGCGUAUCCUUAAGGAAAGGCAAAUGCACCUAGAGCACGAGCGUUUCUUGAAAGAGCUUGAAUUUAAGCAUGCUGCUUUGAGCUCAUCCAGUUCUGCCUCGGCUCAGUUUAGCGUAGCGAGAAACAUCAGACUAGUACCUCCAUUCGCUGAGAAAAAUGUUGAGCGGUAUUUCGCUCAUUUUGAACGAGUGGCUACUGUUUCAGACUGGCCAAUACAUGCCUGGACAUCGCUUUUGCAAAGCGUUCUGGUGGGAAAAGCACAAGACGCUUACGCUUCUUUAAACAUUGAGGAUGUCAAGGACUAUGAAAAAGUUAAAGGCGCCAUUCUAAGAACUUAUGAGCUCGUUCCUGAGGCGUACCACCAGCGUUUUAGAGGCCUCAGUAAGCUGGAUGAACAAACUUAUGUUGAAUUUGCAAGAGAAAAGGAGAUCAGUUUUAGUUCUUGGUGCAAGUCACAGAAGGCGGAAACCAAGGAGGAUCUUAGACAAUUAGUUCUGCUGGAGGACUUUAAAAAUUGUCUGCCUGUUGCUGUGUGUACUUAUCUCAAUCAACAAGAAGUGUCCACUCUUGUUGAGGCUGCUGUUCUAGCAGACAAGUUUGUGUUGACGCUCAAGGUAAACUUUGAUAGCGACCAGGGUGAGCGAAGGGGAAGGACUGGUUUUAACAGAUCUCGGUUUCCAACCACUUCCUCCACCUGCUCAAAGCCUCCUCCUACCGUUUCUACAGCUUUCGUUAGAAGUACUCCGUUGGAGAGGACUUGUUUUUAUUGCAAGAACAGUGGUCACUUCAUUGCUGAUUGCCCUGUCUUGAGUAAAAAACAAGAGUCUUAUAAGCCUGUUGCCUUAUUAAAAACUGAGCAAUUGGGCUGUCGACCAAACCAUGGACCAACCCGCUCAAAAGAGUGAGCUGCCUGGUUCUUCGUCUUUCCUUAUGGAUGGUUGUGUCUCCCUUGUCACUGAUCCUUCAACCAAGCAACCGAUUAAGAUCUGGAGAGAUAGUGGAGCUUUUCAGUCCUCAUCCUCCGCCAUGGCCUCCUCGAAAGCUUCACAUUCGGUCGGUAGCGCGACCUCUGCAACUUUCAUUUUCAGCAGUCUCUCAGCAUAGCGCUGCUUGGCUGCCUUUGAUGUUUUCGAUGGACACGGCAUCUUCUUCCUCUUCUUCUACUUCUUCAUUAACACAGCUAUCAGUCCUUGAUUCUCCAGGACCUCCUACCAGUGGCGAUUUUGGUUUGGAAACUCUGGUGGGGCCCAUGCAGGAAA